rnacentral:rRNA from 1 species
UACAGGGGGGGCAAGCGUUGUUCGGAAUUACUGGGCGUAAAGGGCCAGUAGGCGGCCAACUAAGUCACACGUGAAAUCCCCAGGCUUAACCUGGGAACUGCGUGUGAUACUGGAUGGCUUGAAUUCGGGAGAGGGAUGCAGAAUUCCAGGUGUAGCGGUGAAAUGCGUAGAGAUCGGGAAGAACAUCAGUGGCGAAGGCGGCCUGCUGGGCUGUUGCUGACGCUGAGGCGCGACAGCGUGGGGAGCAAACAGG